AUUGAACGCUGGCGGCAGGCCUAACACAUGCAAGUCGAACGAGUGGCGGACGGGUGAGUAAUGUCUGGGAAACUGCCUGAUGGAGGGGGAUAACUACUGGAAACGGUAGCUAAUACCGCAUACCAUCGGAUGUGCCCAGAUGGGAUUAGCUUGUUGGUGGGGUAACGGCUCACCAGGGCGACGAUCCCUGGCUGGUCUGAGAGGAUGACCAGCAACACUGGAACUGAAAAACGGUCAAGACUCCUACGGGAGGCAGCAUUGGGGAAUAUUGCAAAAUGGGGGCAAGCCUGAUGCAGCCAUGCCGCGUGGAGAAAGAAGGCCUUCGGGUUGUAAAGUAUUUUCAGCGGGGAGGCGUUACCCGAAGAAGAAGCACCGGCUAACUCCGUGCCAGCAGCCGCGAUAAUAC
rnacentral:rRNA from 1 species